rnacentral:sRNA from 1 species
UUUCCGUAGGUGAACCUGCGGAAGGAUCAUUACCGAGUGAGGGCCCUCUGGGUCCAACCUCCCACCCGUGUUUAUUUUACCUUGUUGCUUCGGCGGGCCCGCCUUAACUGGCCGCCGGGGGGCUCACGCCCCCGGGCCCGCGCCCGCCGAAGACACCCUCGAACUCUGUCUGAAGAUUGAAGUCUGAGUGAAAAUAUAAAUUAUUUAAAACUUUCAACAACGGAUCUCUUGGUUCCGGCAUCGAUGAAGAACGCAGCGAAAUGCGAUACGUAAUGUGAAUUGCAAAUUCAGUGAAUCAUCGAGUCUUUGAACGCACAUUGCGCCCCCUGGUAUUCCGGGGGGCAUGCCUGUCCGAGCGUCAUUGCUGCCCUCAAGCCCGGCUUGUGUGUUGGGCCCCGUCCUCCGAUCUCCGGGGGACGGGCCCGAAAGGCAGCGGCGGCACCGCGUCCGGUCCUCGAGCGUAUGGGGCUUUGUCACCCGCUCUGUAGGCCCGGCCGGCGCUUGCCGAUCAACCCAAAUUUUUAUCCAGGUUGACCUCCGAUCAAGUAGGGAUACCCGCUGACCUUAAGCAUAUCAAUAAGCGCAACAAAACAAACCAACAGGGAUUGCCCCACUAACAUCUAGUGAAGCGUUAAGAGCUCAAAUUUGAAAGCUGGCUCCUUCCGAAUCCACGUUGUAAUUUGCACAGGAUGCUUCUCGACCGAUCCCCAUCUAAGUGCCAUGGGAACGGGACGUAAUAUAGGGUGAGAAUCCCGUAUGGAGAUGAGAGUGUCCCCUGAAUAGUGAAGAAUCCUUCGAAGACUCUAGUGGAUGCUCAAUGCAGCUCUGAUGUGCUGGUAAAUUUCAUCUAAAGCGAUAUAGGGGCGAGAGACUGAUCGCGCAUAUGUAUAGCUGAUUUCAUGAUGAAAUGCCCCUUCGGGAAGAGAGUUAAAAAGCACGUGAAAUUGUUGAAAAGGGAAAGCGCUUGCUACC